ACGAACGCUGGCGGCGUGCCUAACACAUGCAAGUCGAGCGGAGACAGUGAGUAGCUUGCUAUGAGCUGUUUUAGCGGCGGACGGGUGAGUAACGCGUGAGCAACCUUUCCCAGACAGGGGAAUAACACACCGAAAGGUGUACUAAUACCGCAUAAGACCACGGAAUCACAUGGUUCUGGGGUAAAAGAUUUAUCGGUUUGGGGUGGGCUCGCGUCCGAUUAGGUAGUUGGUGAGGUAACGGCCCACCAAGCCGACGAUCGGUAGCCGACCUGAGAGGGUGAUCGGCCACAUUGGGACUGAGACACGGCCCAAACUCCUACGGGAGGCAGCAGUGGGGAAUAUUGGGCAAUGGAGGAAACUCUGACCCAGCAACGCCGCGUGGAGGAAGAAGGUUUUCGGAUCGUAAACUCCUGUCCUUGGAGACGAGUAGAAGACGGUAUCCAAGGAGGAAACCCCGGCUAACUACGUGCCAGCAGCCGCGGUAAUACGUAGGGGGCAAGCGUUGUCCGGAAUAAUUGGGCGUAAAGGGCGCGUAGGCGGCUCGGUAAGUCUGGAGUGAAAGUCCUGCUUUUAAGGUGGGAAUUGCUUUGGAUACUGUCGGGCUUGAGUGCAGGAGAGGUUAGUGGAAUUCCCAGUGUAGCGGUGAAAUGCGUAGAGAUUGGGAGGAACACCAGUGGCGAAGGCGACUAACUGGACUGUAACUGACGCUGAGGCGCGAAAGUGUGGGGAGCAAACAGGAUUAGAUACCCUGGUAGUCCACACUGUAAACGAUGAAUGCUAGGUGUAGGGGGUAUCGACCCCUUCUGUGCCGCAGUCAACACAAUAAGCAUUCCGCCUGGGGAGUACGGCCGCAAGGUUGAAACUCAAAGGAAUUGACGGGGGCCCGCACAAGCAGCGGAGCAUGUGGUUUAAUUCGACGCAACGCGAAGAACCUUACCAGGUCUUGACAUCCACUUAAACUUACAGAGAUGUAAGGUGUGCUUGCACAAAGUGAGACAGGUGGUGCAUGGUUGUCGUCAGCUCGUGUCGUGAGAUGUUGGGUUAAGUCCCGCAACGAGCGCAACCCUUAUGGUCAGUUACUACGCAAGAGGACUCUGGCCAGACUGCCGUUGACAAAACGGAGGAAGGUGGGGAUGACGUCAAAUCAUCAUGCCCCUUAUGACCUGGGCUACACACGUGCUACAAUGGACGGUACAACGAGAAGCGAACCUGCGAAGGCAAGCGGAUCUCUGAAAGCCGUUCUCAGUUCGGACUGUAGGCUGCAACUCGCCUACAUGAAGCUGGAAUCGCUAGUAAUCGCGGAUCAGCAUGCCGCGGUGAAUACGUUCCCGGGCCUUGUACACACCGCCCGUCACACCAUGGGAGUUGGGAGUGCCCAAAGCCGGUGAGGCAACCGCAAGGAGCCAGCCGUCUAAGGCAAGACCAAUGACUGGGGCG
rnacentral:rRNA from 1 species